ACGGGUGAGUAAUACGUAGGAACUUGCCCUUUAGAGUAGGAUAACCGAGGGAAACUUUGGCUAAUACUGCAUAAACUCGAGAGAGGAAAGCUGGCCCGCAAGGGUUGGCGCUAGAGGAGAGGCCUGCGGCCAAUUAUGCUGGUUGGUGUGGUAAAGGCGCACCAAGGCUAAGAUUGGUAACUGGUCUGAGAGGACGACCAGUCACACUGGGACUGAGACACGGCCCAGACUCCUACGGGAGGCAGCAGUGGGGAAUCUUGGACAAUGGGGGAAACCCUGAUCCAGCGAUGCCGCGUGGGUGAAGAAGGCCUUCGGGUUGUAAAGCCCUUUAGGUUGGGAAGAAGCUUAGUCGAGAGAUUAAGUUGACGGUACCGACAAAAUAAGCACCGGCAAACUCUGUGCCAGCAGCCGCGGUAAUACAGAGGGUGCGAGCGUUAAUCGGAGUAACUGGGCGUAAAGGGCGCGUAGGCGGAUAUUGCAAUGUGAUGUGAAAUCCCUGGGCUUAACCUAGGAAGUGCAUUGCAGACGCAGUAUCUGGAGUAUAAGAGAGGGUGGCGGAAUUUCCGGUGUAGCGGUG
rnacentral:rRNA from 1 species